GGACGAACGCUGGCGGCGUGCUUAACACAUGCAAGUCGAACGAUGAAGCCCCUUCGGGGGUGGAUUAGUGGCGAACGGGUGAGUAACACGUGGGCAAUCUGCCCUGCACUCUGGGACAAGCCCUGGAAACGGGGUCUAAUACCGGAUACGACACAGGGAGGCAUSUCCUCUGKGUGGAAAGCUCCGGCGGUGCAGGAUGAGCCCGCGGCCUAUCAGCUUGUUGGUGAGGUAACGGCUCACCAAGGCGACGACGGGUAGCCGGCCUGAGAGGGCGACCGGCCACACUGGGACUGAGACACGGCCCAGACUCCUACGGGAGGCAGCAGUGGGGAAUAUUGCACAAUGGGCGCAAGCCUGAUGCAGCGACGCCGCGUGAGGGAUGACGGCCUUCGGGUUGUAAACCUCUUUCAGCAGGGAAGAAGCGCAAGUGACGGUACCUGCAGAAGAAGCGCCGGCUAACUACGU
rnacentral:rRNA from 1 species